rnacentral:lncRNA from 1 species
ACAUACUCCCCCUUUUGUAUAAUGGCAAACCGCGACACAAUCUUUCAUAUAUCGCGUACUUUGAUAGACAUCCUCCCCUUGAUUUUAUGCAUUUCUUUGGAAAAAAAUCUGCUAUCAUAAUCAUAAGUUGUGUUUCCAUUGCUUCUCCCCCUUUGACAACAUCAAAAAGAGACAAGGACGAGGUCAAUCGAAAUCAAAAUGUAUUCAUAAGCAC